AGUGAACGCUGGCGGUAGGCCUAACACAUGCAAGUCGAACGGCAGCACAGUAAGAGCUUGCUCUUACGGGUGGCGAGUGGCGGACGGGUGAGGAAUACAACGGAAUCUACAUUUUCGUGGGGGAUAACGUAGGGAAACUUACGCUAAUACCGCAUACGACCUACGGGUGAAAGCAGGGGAUCUUCGGACCUUGCGCGAUUGAAUGAGCCGAUGUCGGAUUAGCUAGUUGGCGGGGUAAAGGCCCACCAAGGCGACGAUCCGUAGCUGGUCUGAGAGGAUGAUCAGCCACACUGGAACUGAGACACGGUCCAGACUCCUACGGGAGGCAGCAGUGGGGAAUAUUGGACAAUGGGCGCAAGCCUGAUCCAGCCAUACCGCGUGGGUGAAGAAGGCCUUCGGGUUGUAAAGCCCUUUUGUUGGGAAAGAAAAGCAGCAGGUUAAUACCCCGCUGUUCUGACGGUACCCAAAGAAUAAGCACCGGCUAACUUCGUG
rnacentral:rRNA from 1 species